CUGAUACAAGUAAGUUCAAAAAGAUCAUUCAUUUUAAGUUAUGUAUUGAUUUAAAACACUGACAUUAAUGUGUUCGGAAAUUUGGUAGCAACUAGCACAAGCCCAAGGGAUACAGUUUCCGAUGGCCCCCCACCUCCACCUUCCAUACAUUUUCCUUGGCCUUCACCUCCACCUCCACCUACCGAACAUCAGGUAUAUGAGACUCCUCCAGCUACCUUGCCGGCGCAGCAACAAGAUGAUGGGUUAGACUUUGUCAAUACGCUCUUCGCGAGUGGACGUAGCGAGCAUCACUCUUCGAUAUUUCCUGAUGUUGAUCGACAGUAGUGGGCUUCCAUUCGAUGUGUUUUGUGAGACUUCAAACUUGUGUCUUGUGAGACUUGUGAAUUCUUAUGUCGAGGUGGAUUUGACUUGUGA